rnacentral:rRNA from 1 species
CCCUUAGAUGUUCUGGGCCGCACGCGCGCUACAAUGGUCUUCGCAAACGGAUGCAUUCUCGAAGGAGAAUGCCAAUCUUGGAAUCUAUGCCUUGGUCGGGACAGUUGCUUGCAAUUUUUCGACUCGAACCAGGAAUUCCUUGUAAUCGUGAUUCAUCACAUCACGAUGAAUACGUCCCUGCCCUUUGUACACACCGCCCGUCGCUCCUACCGUUCGAAGAGUUAGGUGAAUUGUUUUGAUCGAUAAGAUUUGACUAUGGUCAACUCUCGUUGUGAAAUUCUGUGAAUCUGACUGUUUAGAGGAAGGAAAAGUCGUAACA